GUAGGUGAACCUGCGGAAGGAUCAUUAAUAACGUAUCCAACGUAAAAAAAAAACCCCGUGAACAUUGAUAUGCGCCCUUGCCAGCCUGCACGUGUCGCAGACUUAUGGUCAGAAAUCCCUAGUAAAUCACGCAAGACUAAUUGAUUUAGGGACUACUGAGAUUGCAGCUGGAGAGUACCGCGUCGCGAAAGAAGAAAGAUAGUCCGACUUCCAAGGAUGACGGCCUCGGCCUGUAAAAGGGUCCGUUAAGGCGAUACCAGUAGUCUCCGUCAUUGUUGGAAGUAGACCCCUACCUCGUACGGCGAUCUCAAGCUUAUCACAAGCCAUGGGACGACAUUAUUUAUGAUAACUUGUUGUCGAAAGUCAACAAUGAGCUCAUCCACUCGUACACUGAUGUUAUUACGGGGGGUAGUGACGGCUAUCCCCAUACCCUGAACUGUUAACAAUGGAUAUCGUGGUUCUC
rnacentral:misc_RNA from 1 species